GGAUCAUGAGACUAUCCUGUGUAUCCCACAAAGAAGACAGGCAAGAUUCCUUGGCUGAUGCACCUCCACAGAGGUCUCCUUCUCAGCCAAGCCUCAGGGAAUUGUGGCAUUCAUGCUGUACCCGUGAUCUGUUCCCACUGGAGGAGGAGAUGUCUAGACUGUGAUGGGGUCUCUGAGAACUGCUCUUCUGACUUUAUUCCUGAAAGAGGCUGUGUGCAAGAAUUGAGUCCCAGGGGGACUGGAAUGUUGUCUGUCUUGCAGGGGCUCUUGGUGAAAUGGAGGAACCAUGACAAAGGCAAGUCCAAGGUGGAGCAGUAUUCUCACAGCUCUAAGUGGACUCCCACAGGUGCAGGUGAAUGUGUGGGACCGCAUCCACCCCUCACCAGCUUGUAUCCUCACCUUUAUCUGAUGUUAUGGCUGCUCAAAGUAUCUGUCCCAAAAUGAAAUUCCAAGACAAUGAAGGAGUGACGUGAAGGUCCUGCUCAGCUAGGAACUGAAUAUGAAGUAAAUUCAAGGGGCCCUGAGGACUGGACUGCUAGUGUUUCUCCAUGGGAUGUACACUGGAGAAUAAAGCAGUGAAAUAUUUCUGUU
rnacentral:lncRNA from 1 species